rnacentral:lncRNA from 1 species
AAGUAUAAACCGGUCUCAACUCAAUAAAAUUACGGAUAUGUGCAUGGCGUAAAUUUAAAGGAGUGUUCAGUUUUAGACGUGCACACCCGUAUAUCUACGAAUAAUAUUUUAUACAAUCAAACACCAUGUAGAUAUACAAAAGAUGAGUGUUGUCAACCCAAGUGCACUCUCUAUGUAUUAGUGCUCCCUGCUUAAACUUAUAUUUGACACUUGCUUGUUUAUUUUCCUUAAAUUUUUCGAAUUCUGCCUUUAGUGUCUCAAAAUUUUUCUUUAACUCCUCACCCGCUUUCACAUCACCACUCUUGGAUAAUUCAGUUAGUUUUGUCUAAAUUGAGAAAUAGUAAAAUACAUAUAAAUUGAAAAAAAAAAAUAUAUAUUUAUAUUUUGUAUAUUUCUAAUAGAUAUUGCAGAUAAAUUGUUUUUGUUUAGGACUGUGUACUUACUCUAGCUUCUCCUAAUUCUUUAUGUAAACCUUGAAUCUUCUUGUUUGACUCUGACAAUUCUUUUGAGGUUUUCUUGUAGAGUUCUGUCAUCGUGUUUCUGAACAAGGGAUCAAAAGCUAGUGAAAUUAAUAUCCUAUUUACGAAUGAAAAGAGUCACACUUACACUUCGUUAGCUGUAUUAUUAAGCUCCACAUUCUGAAUUCUGAGAAGCUUACCUUCCUUUGUGGCUUUAAAAGCCGUAUAUCCAAAGAAAAUACAGGCAAUGAUUAGAGGAUAUGUGAAGAACGGACUAAAACUACGAUUGAUCAUUCUUUUGAUUGUGGAACUCUUCUCGUUGUGCAUCUUCUCAAGAUCCUAUUCCUUCAAGGUACAGCAUUGUUUUCAAAAUCCCUCUACGUUUAAGCUUCCUAUAUUAAUUAAAAUCAAUCAUGACUAGUAUGUCUACCUAGUUUUUGACACGUGAACUCUUUAGGGCAUCCCUUCAAUUGAAGCACUCACUUACAUUUCAUUGUUUCUGUAAAUUACUUUGUAAAAUUGGAUUCUACUAAUUUGUUAUUCAACAUCUACACUUAAUGUAACGUGAUACCUUCAAAUAAAAACAUAUUUGAUACUACUGAUUAAAGUGGAAAAGGCUUAUAAAUGUUUUGGAGGUCCCUUGGAUGUAGAACGUUUUCUCAGACUUCAUAACUUCGAGGACAUCCCAUCUUUCUGAGAAAAUAAUUUCCUUUAUGAAGGGCAACAUUCGGCGAAAGUUGUGGAUUAGCGCUGCUAGAUGUCUCAAAUGUACUCCUACGGAUCAUUUAAGCCAUUAAAUAUGAAUAAGGAUUCCUCUUAAAUUCAAUAAUUAUUGAAUAACAAAAAUACUUGUUUGAUGCUCACUUUAAAGAUAAUAUGUUUUAUUCUCGACAUUUAGAAGAACGAUGGCUAUUGCCAAACGAUGCAUCUCUAACUAUUUCCGAUUAUAAGAAGAAAAUGAAAGUCGAAAACUUUCAUUAAAUAUGAAUU